CGGAGGUAGGGUCCAGCGGCUGG
rnacentral:snRNA from 1 species